CGCCGUCUACUCAGCUCUCCUCUUGUUGGCUUGGCUUGCUAGGCAGUGCGCUGCAGCAGGAGAUAUCUAACCAAUGGCCAGUUGGAGCUUCUGGAAGCCGUUGGGCCAUGAUGGGAUCAGGGUCUGGUCUAGAGACAUUCAAGGCAGGAAACUGGCUGAAACAAUGUCUAACUCUGGCUAAUGCCUGUGUUGGACACUGCCUGGGUACCCAUCUAAUUUCCUCUGAUAAUUCAAGCAGAAAUAUUUCUGGUCAUUCCCACUGACUGAGGCUGCCAUCCUUCCCACACUCACCUGGGAGCAAGUCCUGUUGAACUCAAGAGAGUGUAUUAAGGAGCAAAGCCACCUCGGCUUCAGCUGUAAGGAGGGAAUCCCCUGGAGAAGGACAGCAAGACAGCUGCCUUCCUCUGUGUGCAGGCUGAAGAUGGGGAGGACAACCAGGGAGAAGUCUUGGAAGUGGUCCCCCAGCAGCAGCCUUUUCUGGACGUGGAGGAAAGAGCUCCAUUCAAACCAGCAGGAGGAAAGAAGGUCUCAGAGCACAGGCAGAUUGUAUGCCAUGGUGAGCCUGGCAUCAGACUAAGGUGGCAAUGUGUGUGAAGUGGGCAGAAGAGAUAAGCUGAAGACUCUAUAUCCUAUUCUGGAGAAUAUGUGAGUGAUGGAGUGGAAAGAGGGCCUCUGAGCAUGGGCAGAGUGUAUUCUAUGCUUUCUUAACUCUCAGCCCCCCCAGCCCCAGUGACCACCAGCUGCCACUCGGCAUAACGCU